rnacentral:tRNA from 1 species
GGCCCUUUAGCUCAGUGGUUAGAGAAGGCGACUCAUAAUCGUCCGGUCGCUGGUUCAAGUCCAGCAAGGGCCACCA